AAAUUCCAACUCCGCGGAACGGAAUGCAGAAACAGUAAUGAUGAGUACCGAGAAAACUCAGACGCAUACAGCAAUGCCAGAAUUGUCAGAAAAUUUGGAGAAACUGUGUAUCAAUUAGCAAUUUAGUCAUAUAAGCAUAAACGCAAACGUUUAUAUCGUUCUAUUUAUUUAUUUGUUUAUUCAUUUAUUGAUUAUUACUCUUUAGCAGUCAUCCAGCUGUUGGAAUGAAAGACUCGGUCUUUUCACUGCCUAAAUCAAUAUGCAUAUUUAGGAAAAUUCAAAUAAUAUCCUCGUCUCUAUUUUCGAGCAAAUAAAGUAGAGCGUCCUCAAAGCGAAACAACAAAACAAUGUGCCUGAUUUGUCGCGGCAGCCAAAGCAGUCGACGCGCCAUAUGCGAAUCCGCGUCCAGCUUAACUGCGAUCCCUUCUGUUCUUAAAGGAGCACGCUUAAAGCUUCCUACUAGGCACUAUGUUUUCUAUUUUUUAGAUUCAACGCGGUUUUCACAGAAUUACAGCUCACCAACCCAACGCAAGAAGAUAUGGAAAGAAAGUUUACCAAGCCCCCACCAGAUGUCGUACUAGAGCCUGCCGGGAGUCUUUUGUUCCUGCAGGAACAGUCAAGAAUGGAACCACCUUCUCGGCGCGAUGACUGUCAUUGAAGACCACGCACAAUUUCGCACGGCCACAAUCGACACCAUCACUUCGGGCUUCACAUGAUCAUCACUAUGUCACUUGCUGCCUUCCUUUAUUCUUUGUUGUUUUGUAACCUUUUCUUUUUUUACCCCACUCAGCUCUGUAAUACCUUUGUGGUCUUGAGAGUAUAAUAAACGAAAUAAAAAUAAAUGAAAUUAUGUAUUUAGGC